rnacentral:lncRNA from 1 species
AAAAAAUGAAAAUUAAAAAAGGAAAAGAAGAAAGUAUUAGAAGAAUAAGAAGGAAAAGUAGAAGGAAAAGAACAAGGAGAAGAACAAGAAGAAGAAGGAAAAGAAGAGGAGGAGGUGGAGAAUCAAGAAGAAGAAGAAGAAGAAGAAGAAGAAGAAAAAGAGGAGAGAGGAGAAGAAGAAAGAAGAUAAAAAAGUAAAAGAAGGAAGAAGAAGAAGAAGAAUAAGAAGAGGAAAAAGGAAAAGAAGG